AAAAACUUAAUUUUUAGGUUUCCGUGUCUAAUGUUUGACCGUCCGUCUAUAUAUAAAAUUUUUGUAUAAUUAGUAUUUUCAUUAUUGUUAAAUGAUAAAACAUGAAUAAUACUUUAUACAUGGCUUACUUUUUAAAUUAUUUUAUAAUUUUUUAAAAUAAGACGAACAAUCAAACGUUAGACACGAAAACUCAGGAAUUAAG
rfam:Oryza rufipogon genomic scaffold, chr01